rnacentral:rRNA from 1 species
UACGUAGGGGGCAAGCGUUGUCCGGAUUUAUUGGGCGUAAAGGAGCGUGUGAGGCGGCCAGACAAGUCUGCUGUGAAAACUCGAGGCUCAACCUCGAGCUGUCGGUGGAAACUGUCUGGCUAGAGUCCGGAAGAGGAGAGUGGAAUUCCUGGUGUAGCGGUGAAAUGCGUAGAUAUCGAGAGGAACACCUGCGGCGAAGGCGGGUUGCUGGGCUGACACUGACGCUGAUGCGCGAAAGCUAGGGGAGCGAACGGG